rnacentral:rRNA from 1 species
AGUCGAACGAGCGAGAGAGAGCUUGCUUUCUCGAGCGAGUGGCGAACGGGUGAGUAACGCGUGAGGAACCUGCCUCAAAGAGGGGGACAACAGUUGGAAACGACUGCUAAUACCGCAUAAGCCCACAGGUCGGCAUCGACCAGGGGGAAAAGGAACAAUCCGCUUUGAGAAGGCCUCGCGUCCGAUUAGCUAGUUGGUGAGGUAACGGCCCACCAAGGCAACGAUCGGUAGCCGGACUGAGAGGUUGAACGGCCACAUUGGGACUGAGACACGGCCCAGACUCCUACGGGAGGCAGCAGUGGGGAAUAUUGCACAAUGGGGGAAACCCUGAUGCAGCGACGCCGCGUGGAGGAAGAAGGUCUUCGGAUUGUAAACUCCUGUUGUUGAGGAAGAUAAUGACGGUACUCAACAAGGAAGUGACGGCUAACUACGUGCCAGCAGCCGCGGUAAAACGUAGGUCACAAGCGUUGUCCGGAAUUACUGGGUGUAAAGGGAGCGCAGGCGGGAAGACAAGUUGGAAGUGAAAUCUAUGGGCUCAACCCAUAAACUGCUUUCAAAACUGUUUUUCUUGAGUAGUGCAGAGGUAGGCGGAAUUCCCGGUGUAGCGGUGGAAUGCGUAGAUAUCGGGAGGAACACCAGUGGCGAAGGCGGCCUACUGGGCACCAACUGACGCUGAGGCUCGAAAGUGUGGGUAGCAAACAGGAUUAGAUACCCUGGUAGUCCACACCGUAAACGAUGAUUACUAGGUGUUGGAGGAUUGACCCCUUCAGUGCCGCAGUUAACACAAUAAGUAAUCCACCUGGGGAGUACGACCGCAAGGUUGAAACUCAAAG